rfam:Camelus ferus unplaced genomic scaffold scaffold844, whole genome shotgun sequence.
GGUGGCAUACAGCACAGUGGUAGAGUGCGUGCCUAGCAUGCAUGAGGUCCUGGGCUCAAUCCCUAGUACCUCCA